UAAAGGUUUGCGGUUGUUCUGUUCUGCUUCUCUAUGCAAGUAAAGUGGAAGACUGGGUCGGACCUGGAAUUACAUCACAGUUGACGAGAUUAGCGCUUCCACAAACAUGGUCGAAGAUGAACCAGACAACGUCGACUUUGGGGACGGAGUCAAGGAUUUCGACGACAUCCUUGUGCUAAUUGGCGAAUUCGGAAAGUUCCAAAAAUUAGUCUUCUUAUUACUCUCCAUAGCAGGUAUUCUACCAGCCAUGGAUUAUGCUGCAGUUGUCUUUAUAGAGGAGACUCCUGACUUCAGGUGUAGACUCCCCGGAGAUUUAAACGACUCGUACUUUCCACGUGUGUCAUGGUACCAAAACACAAGUGAUGACGUGACAUCAAAUUCAACCACCCA